rnacentral:rRNA from 1 species
AGAGUGAACGCUGGCGGUAGGCCUAACACAUGCAAGUCGAACGGCAGCACAGUAGGAGCUUGCUCUUACGGGUGGCGAGUGGCGGACGGGUGAGGAAUACAUCGGAAUCUACCUUUUGGUGGGGGAUAACGUAGGGAAACUUACGCUAAUACCGCAUACGCCCUUCGGGGGAAAGCCGGGGACCAGCAAUGGCCUGGCGCUGAUAGAUGAGCCGAUGUCGGAUUAGCUAGUUGGUGAGGUAAUGGCUCACCAAGGCGACGAUCCGUAGCUGGUCUGAGAGGAUGAUCAGCCACACUGGAACUGAGACACGGUCCAGACUCCUACGGGAGGCAGCAGUGGGGAAUAUUGGACAAUGGGCGCAAGCCUGAUCCAGCCAUACCGCGUGGGUGAAGAAGGCCUUCGGUUGUAAAGCCCUUUGUUGGAAAGUAAAGACAGUUCGUUAAUACCGGUGUUCGUGACGUACCAAAGAAUAAGCACGGCUAACUCGUAGCCAGCAGCGCGUAA